CCUACGGGGGGCUGCAGUGGGAAUCUUGCACAAUGGAGGAAACUCUGAUGCAGCGACGCCGCGUGAGUGAUGACGCCCUUCGGGGUGUAAAGCUCUUUCGACAGGGACGAUUAUGACGGUACCUGGAGAAGCAGCUGCGGCUAACUACGUGCCAGCAGCCGCGGUAAUACGUAGGCAGCAAGCGUUGUUCGGAGUUACUGGGCGUAAAGGGUGCGUAGGCGGCCCCGUAAGUGUGGUGUGAAAUCUCCCGGCUCAACUGGGAGGGUGCGCUACAGACUGCGGGGCUAGAGUGUGGGAGAGGAAAGUGGAAUUCCUGGUGUAGCGGUGAAAUGCGUAGAUAUCAGGAGGAACACCGGUGGUGUAGACGGCUUUCUGGACCAUAACUGACGCUGAGGCACGAAAGCGUGGGUAGCAAACAGGAUUAGAUACCCCUGUAGUC
rnacentral:rRNA from 1 species